rnacentral:rRNA from 1 species
GACGAACGCUGGCGGCGUGCUUAACACAUGCAAGUCGAACGGAAAGGCCUGCUUUCCCUUGUGGAUUGCGGGUACUCGAGUGGCGAACGGGUGAGUAACACGUGAGUGAUCUGCCCCCAACUUGGGUAUAAGCCUGGGAAACUGGGUCUAAUUCCCGAUAGGACUGCAGGGUGGUGCCUGUGGUGGAAAACGAUUUUCUAGUGGUUGGGGAUGAGCUCGCGGCCUAUCAGCUUGUUAGUGGGGUAAUGGCCUACCAAGGCGGCGACGGGUAGCCGGCCUGAGAGGGUGGACGGCCACAUUGGGACUGAGAUACGGCCCAGACUCCUACGGGAGGCAGCAGUGGGGAAUAUUGCACAAUGGGCGGAAGCCUGAUGCAGCGACGCCGCGUGGGGGAUGACGGCCUUCGGGUUGUAAACUCCUUUCGACCGCGAGGAAGCCACCUGGUUGGAAGGGUGGUGACGGUAGUGGUAGAAGAAGCACCGGCUAACUACGUG